CCCCACAUUGUCAUGUGUUGCAUUUGAGACGUUGAGUGGUCUAGAAGGCAAUUGCCUUUUUUGGUUCUUAGAUUUAUCCCUCCUCUCUCACCGUAGUUAGUUCCCGUUUCAUUUCCAACUGAAAGCACAAACUGCAGCUACGUUUCACCUUUACUGCUUGAUAGCCUCUGAAGUUCAAAGUCUGUAAGUAUCUAUGUAUGCAACUUGUAAAUAUCUGCUAUGUGUCAUUACUGUUAUAAUAUAAUACUGUGCUGUAGCAGUGGACGCUAAUUAGCGUCUAGCUAAUCGCGAUUAGCUAGAUGCUAAUCGCGAUUAGCAUUUGUCAUGUCAGGAUUAGCUUGGACUCUUAAGUAGUCAGGAUAUUCAUGUUGAUGGAUAGGGGUAAUUUAUGUCAUGAUGGCCUUGUGUUAAUCAUAAUGUUGUUUAUGCAUAUGUCUGUGGACAGUUUGUGAAGCUAUGCUAUGUUAUGUCUCCACAGUUUUACAAUAUCAAAGAUCAAUACUAAAGACCCUAAAACUCAACUCUGGAUUCAUGAGUCUUCAUUUUAUGGAUCUGCUGUUAGCUAUCUGCUAAGCUAACCUAAAGAAGUAAGAGCAGAAUAGUAAAAAGACUAAUCAAAAUGCCUAUCAAACGAAAAGUGGAUUAAGCACACUGCAGACCAGAGAUACAGCUCAGUAUAACCUUUACAAGUCAUUAUGGAGGAAAACAAAGUAGAAAACCUUCUGGGAGUUACAUCUGAUGAACAGUCUCAAUACUCCUCCUGUUCCAAACGCUCAAACCAAUCGAGCCGUUCUUCAACACACAGCUCUGCUGCCACCAAGGCAAGAGCUAAAGCAGAAGCUGCUCGGGUCAAAGCUUCGUAUGCUCAGAGAGAAGCAGACAUGUUAAUAGAGCAGGCACGGAUAGAAGCAGACAUGUUAAUAGAGCAGGCACGGAUAGAAGCAGAAGAAUUAAAAGUAAGAGCGGAACAGCAAAGAAGGAAAACUGAGCUACAGGCGAAUCUACAUGCACUGAAAAUUCAGGGCGCCGCUGUAGCAGCUAUCACAGAAGCUGAAAUCCUUGAAGCAGCUUACGAGGAAAACGGUGGAGAACGACCAAGACAAAAUGUGACAAAUCUAGCUCCACAUCCACCACCUCAACGCACCAAGGAAUAUGUGCAACAACAUUCUCAGGACCAUGGUCAGCAACAACACCAACUCACAAAACGAGAACCUCUUUCUCCAUCAAAGCGCCAGCCAAAUAUGGACAACGAUGAUGCAGACAAUCCGGGUCUCCAAAUUGAUAGUUUUGGUGGACUUCACGACCGCACAUUCCAAGAAUUACCAGCAUAACACCAGAGCAUGAGUCCAACCAUCAUUCAGCGUAGCCACGCACGCCCUCUGAAGUUCCUCCAAGAAGAACGUGGACCCCUCCAGACUCACAUUACACUGUCAGAAGGUACAGACCAGGUCAUGCCCUCCAGAGCAACUCCGUAUGUUCAAUCAGAUAUAGCUGAUUUAGCCAGGUACCUGAUUCGCAAAGAAAUAGUGAGUUCUGGACUUGUAAAAUUUGACGAUAGACCAGAGAACUAUUGGACAUGGAAAGCCUCUUUUGUCAACUCCAUGAGUGACCUGAACCUUACCGCCAGAGAAGAGUUGGAUUUACUAACCAAAUGGCUUGGACCACAGUCUGCAGAGCAAGCAAAACGUAUCCGUGCAGUCAACAUUAAUAAUGCUAGCUCAGGCCUCCAAAUGAUCUGGCAGAGAUUGGAAGAAUGCUACGGUUCAGCUGAAAUGAUUGAACAUGCUCUCUUAACAAAGUUAGAGGAGUUUCCUAAGAUUUCAAACAAAGAUAAUGAGAAGCUGAGGGAGCUAGGGGACCUGUUGCUAGAACUGGAGGCAGCUAGGAAAGAUGGGUUCUUACCUGGACUCUCUUACCUCAACACACCCCGUGGAGUCAACCCCAUCGCACAGAAGCUCCCCUAUAACCUUGUAGAGAAAUGGAUCUCAGUUGGCUCUAAAUACAAAAAUGAUUAUCAGGUCCAAUAUCCUCCUUUUAGUGUGUUUGUAAAGUUCAUUUGCGACCAGGCAAAGAUCAGAAAUGACCCCAGCUUUGCUGAACUUACCAUGGGUGGUUCCACGAGGACAGAUACAUCUCUGAAAAACAUAAAACCAUCUGUGUUCACCCGGAAAACGGAAGUUUCCUCAGAGGGUGAAGCCAAGCACAACAACAUGGAGAGACAGUUUGAGGAUCCAGACAGACGGUGUCCAUUACAUAAUAAGCCCCAUCCUCUAAGAAAAUGUCGUGGGUUUCGCAACAAGACAAUAGAAGACAGAAAAGCUUACCUGAAAGAGAAACGUAUCUGUUUCAAGUGUUGUGCUUCAACAAGUCACUUCGCCAAGGACUGCGAGGAAGCGGUGCACUGCAAAGAGUGCAAUAGCAGCAGACACCCAUCUGCACUCCACCCUGGGCCAAUGUUAUGGGAACCAGUGAGCAAUGCUCUUAAGGAAGAUCAAAGCGGGGAGCAACAGGAAGAUGAGACCCCAGAGGUUAUGUCAAAAUGCACAGAAGUCUGCGGGGACUCCAUCAGCGCACGAUCAUGUUCCAAAAUAUGCUUGGUCAAGGUCUACCCUGCAGGUCAAAGAGAGAAAGCUGUUAAAGUCUACGCUGUCCUCGAUGAACAGAGUAACAGGUCCUUGGCAAAGACAGAGCUCUUCGACCGUCUUGACAUUAGAGCAGGUGCUGCACCAUACAUCCUUAAAACAUGCUCAGGGGUUAUGGAAACAUCAGGACGACGCGCAACUAAACUCAUAGUUGAGUCCAUGGAUGGCAACGUACAGAUUCCUCUCCCCACACUCAUAGAGUGUGACAUGAUGCCUGACGACCGUUCGGAGAUCCCCUCCCCAGAGAUAGCACAUUAUUAUCCCCACCUCAAGCCGGUAGCGGAUAAAAUCCCAGCUAUUGAUCCUGAUACAGCCAUUCUCCUUCUCCUUGGCAGAGACCUACUACGGGUACACAAGGUGCGAAAACAGUACAAUGGACCCAACAAUGCACCGUAUGCUCAACAACUGGACCUUGGGUGGGUUAUUGUUGGAGAAGUAUGUCUCAGUGGAGCCCACAAACCCAACAGUAUCAACGUCUACAAGACCAAUAUACUACAUAAUGGGCGCACAUCUUUCUUUAGUCCAUGUGCUAGUGGUAUCCAUGUAAAAGAGAAAGUUAACAAGAGGACGUCAAGUCAGAGCAAUCAAAUCUUCAAAGACACAGAGCUCCUGGAGGAUGACAAUCUUGGAAGCAAAGUUUUUGACAGGACAAAAGAGGAUGAGAAAAUGGCAUUGUCCAUUGAAGAUAAAGCCUUCCUGGAGAUUAUGGACAAACAUGUCUUCAUGAAUGAUGCAAACACCUGGGUGGCCCCCUUACCAUUCCGUUACCCGAGGCCCCGUCUCCCAAAUAAUAGAGGUCAAGCAGCCAAACGUCUCUCUUCUCUAUGUCGCACCCUGGAAAGAAAGCCAGGAGUGAAAAAACAAUACUUUGACUUCAUGCAGAAGAUCUUCGAGUCAGGCCAGGCAGAGCUAGCUCCAUUAUUGAAGAAGAACCAAGAGUGCUGGUACCUUCCAGCAUUUGGCGUCUACCACCCUCAGAAGCCAGAUCAAAUACGGGUGGUGUUUGAUUCGAGUGCCAAGCACGAAGGCAUCUCUCUCAACGAAAUCCUUUUGAAGGGACCAGAUUUGAAUAACACUCUUCUUGGAGUACUCAUCCGUUUCCGCAAGGAACCUAUUGCAGUCAUAGCAGACAUUCAACAGAUGUUCUAUUGUUUCACAGUCUGUGAGAACCAUCGUGACUUCUUACGGUUCUUGUGGUUUGAAGGUAACGACUUCACAAAACCAGUGACCGAGUACCGAAUGACAGUACAUGUGUUCGGCAACAGCCCUUCACCAUCUGUGGCCAUCUAUGGGUUAAGACGUGCAGCGCAAGAAGGACACAAAGAACAUGGUACAGAUGCUAAGCAGUUCGUCAUGAGGAACUUUUAUGUGGAUGAUGGGCUAGCCUCAUUUCCCACUGAGGAUGAAGCCAUCAGUGUUCUGAAAAGAACAAAAGAGAUGCUAGCUGAGUCAAGCAUCAUGCUGCAUAAAAUAGCAUCCAACAGCAGCAGCAUUAUGGACGCUUUCCCAUCUGAAGAUCGUGCCAAAUGUUUUAAGGAUCUAGACCUGUCAUCUGAUCCUCUGCCUCACCAACACAGUUUAGGUCUCAGAUGGGAUAUGCAAACUGACAGCUUCUCCUUCUGCGUGUCCGAUAAGGAAAAGCCAUUCACUAGGAGGGGCAUACUAUCAACGGUCAACAGUCUCUAUGAUCCCUUAGGGUUCGUAGCACCAAUCACAAUUCAAGGGAAGGCACUUGUCAGAGACAUCUCUAAAGAAGAGUAUGAUUGGGACACACAACUCCCAGCAGAGAAAGAAAUCCAGUGGAAUGCCUGGAAAGAUUCCCUCAUGGAACUAAAGCAUAUUCAGAUUCAGAGGACCUACAUUCCUGUUUCGUUGCUCGCUACAGCACACAGAGAAAUAUGUGUUUUCUCAGAUGCAUCAACGAUGGCUAUAUCAGCUGUAGCUUACCUCAGGGCAGUCGAUACAGAAGGACACAGACAUGUUGGGUUCAUUAUGGGUAGAUCCAAGCUGGCUCCACGUCCUGCACAUACCAUACCUCGUUUGGAACUGUGUGCGGCUGUAUUGGCAACAGAGAUGGCAGACCUGAUAAUGGAUGAAAUUGAUGUGGAGAUCCAAACAGUAAAAUUCUACACGGACAGCAAGAUUGUAUUGGGCUACAUUCAUAAUGCAACCAGGAACUUCUACGUCUAUGUGGCUAACAGAGUGACACGAAUCAGGAAGUCCUCUCACCCAAGCCAGUGGCACUACAUCAGAACCAACCAUAAUCCUGCAGAUCAUGGAUCUAGGUCUGUCCCUGCUAAUCUUCUGAAAGACACCAACUGGUUUUCCGGUCCAUCUUUUCUGACAAGACCGGAAAAGGACGAGUUGCCAUGUCCAGAUGUAUUUGAUCUUCUAUAUCCAGAGACUGACGUAGAGGUGCGCCCUCUAGUUUCAACCUAUGCCACAAAUGCAACAAGUGGACUUCUCGGCUCCCAUCGGUUUGGAAGAUUCUCCAGUUGGAAAUCCCUUAUCCGUGCAAUAGCUAGGCUCAUCCAAAAAGCCAGAGCCUUCUCUGUAACUUCACCUCAAUGUAGCCAGGAAAAGGAUGAACUCCUUCAAGCAAGACUCAUAAUUAUGAAAAAUGUACAACACAACCUCUUCAAAGAAGAAGUAAAAAACAUCUCAAAGGGGGACAAAGUCUCAAUGCGCAGUCCGCUCAUUUAUCUGGACCCCAUUAUUGAUGACAGUGGUUUGCUGAGAGUUGGAGGUCGAACAUCUUUGGCAGACAUGUCCUGGGAAGAAAAGCAUCCAAUCAUCCUUCCCAAGAGCCAUCACGUCUCUACCCUGCUGGUAAGACACUACCACCAACAAGUUGCUCACCAAGGUCGGCAUUUCACUGAAGGAGCAAUUCGAACCGCCGGAUUGUGGAUAAGAGGAAGCAAGGGAUUGGUGUCAAGUGUGAUACAUAAAUGCGUCACCUGCAAAAGGUUAAGAGGAAAGCUAGAAGAACAAAAAAUGUCUGACCUACCUUUGGAUAGACUCACUUUGGAUCCCCCAUUUACCAAUGUUGGUCUUGACGUUUUCGGACCUUGGACUAUAACAUCACGUAGGACCAGAGGCGGCCAUGCAGAAGCCAAACGAUGGGCAGUCAUGUUCACCUGUCUGAGUACACGUGCGGUGCACAUCGAAGUCAUUGAGAAUAUGACAACAUCCAGCUUCAUUAACGCUUUGAGGAGAUUCACUGCUAUCAGAGGUCCUGUGAGACUAUUGCGUUCAGAUAGGGGAACAAAUUUCAUUGGAGCUUGCAAAGAACUGCAGAUUAACUCAGAAGAUCUAGAGUUGAAAGCUCACCUGCGAGACAAAAGCUGCACCUGGAUAUUUAAUCCGCCACACUCUUCUCACAUGGGGGGUGUGUGGGAAAGGAUGAUCGGUGUUGCACGUCGCAUUUUAGAUGCGAUGUUGUUGAAAGAGAACUGUCAUCUAUCACAUGAAGUACUUGUGACACUAAUGACUGAAGUCAUGGCAAUAAUGAACGCGAGACCUCUAGUUCCAGUGACUUCUGAUCCUGAGAUGCCAGCGGUUUUAACGCCCGCAAUGCUGCUUACACAGAAGACUGAGGCAGUAUCUGCUCCGUCAGGGAAAAUGGAUCUCAAAGAUCUCUAUACCAAGCAGUGGAGACAAGUCCAAAGCCUUGCUGAAACCUUCUGGAGACGCUGGAAGCAAGAAUAUUUGGUGACCCUCCAGUCUCGCAAGAAGUGGCAGUCAGAAAGACCAAAUCUACAAGUUGGAGAUGUGGUACUUUUCAAAGACACUCAAGUUAAGAGAAAUGAGUGGCCAACGGGAGUUAUUGUCCAAACCACUCCCAGUCGCGAUGGCAGAGUUCGAAAAGUAAAUGUCAGGAUCAUCAAAGAAGGCACCCCUAAGGUGUAUUCAAGACCUGUCUCAGAAGUUGUCCUGCUCCUCAGUGAGGGGACAUAGUGGUAUUAUAAAAUACCAAACGGGGAGUGUUCUGCCCCACAUUGUCAUGUGUUGCAUUUGAGACGUUGAGUGGUCUAGAAGGCAAUUGCCUUUUUUGGUUCUUAGAUUUAUCCCUCCUCUCUCACCGUAGUUAGUUCCCGUUUCAUUUCCAACUGAAAGCACAAACUGCAGCUACGUUUCACCUUUACUGCUUGAUAGCCUCUGAAGUUCAAAGUCUUUUUACAAUAUCAAAGAUCAAUACUAAAGACCCUAAAACUCAA